UACGAAGGGGGCGAGCGUUGUUCGGAUUUACUGGGCGUAAAGGGCGCGCAGGCGGCCGCUCAAGUCAGGCGUGAAAGCCCCGGGCUUAACCUGGGAGGUGCGUCUGGGACUGGUACGCUAGAGUUCGGGAGAGGAGAGUGGAAUUCCCAGUGUAGAGGUGAAAUUCGUAGAUAUUGGGAAGAACACCGGUGGCGAAGGCGGCUCUCUGGACCGAGACUGACGCUGAGGCGCGAAAGCGUGGGGAGCAAACAGG
rnacentral:rRNA from 1 species